rnacentral:rRNA from 1 species
GAUGAACGCUGGCGGCGUGCUUAACACAUGCAAGUCGAACGGGAUCCCGGGGGUUCGCUUCCGGGUGAGAGUGGCGAACGGGUGAGUAAUGCGUGACCGACCUGCCCCAUACACCGGAAUAGCUCCUGGAAACGGGUGGUAAUGCCGGAUGCUCCGGUUGGAUGCAUGUCCUUCCGGGAAAGAUUCUAUCGGUAUGGGAUGGGGUCGCGUCCUAUCAGCUUGAUGGCGGGGUAACGGCCCACCAUGGCUUCGACGGGUAGCCGGCCUGAGAGGGCGACCGGCCACAUUGGGACUGAGAUACGGCCCAGACUCCUACGGGAGGCAGCAGUGGGGAAUAUUGCACAAUGGGCGCAAGCCUGAUGCAGCGACGCCGCGUGCGGGAUGGAGGCCUUCGGGUUGUAAACCGCUUUUGAUCGGGAGCAAGCCCUUCGGG